UACAGAGGGUGCUAGCGUUGUCCGGAAUUACUGGGCGUAAAGGGCGCGUAGGCGGGCCGGCCAGUCAGGGGUGAAAGCCCACGGCUCAACCGUGGAAGUGCCUUUGAUACUGCCGGUCUUGAGGGAGGUAGGGGCGUGCGGAACUUCCGGUGGAGCGGUGAAAUUCGUAGAUAUUAGGAAGAACACCGGUGGCGAAGGCGGCCCACUGGAUCGGUACUGACGCUGAGACGCGAAAGCGUGGGGAGCAAACAGG
rnacentral:rRNA from 1 species